AAGAGUCUAAUGAGGUG
rnacentral:misc_RNA from 1 species